UCGACUACUAACAUUAUUGGAUACCAUGUCAGACUGCUUGGAAAGAUCCGUUUCUGUACGGAAGUGCCCCAAGAACGACCAGAGACUUAUUAGGACGACUUAGGUUUUUCGUGCAACUAUUAGACUACGAUAAUUUCAGAUAAGGAUUGUAGGAAGGGCGUGUUGUUGGUCAAAGAAACGAUUAUAUUCCAGUCGUGGAACAGUAACUUCGUAUCGAAAUUAGUUUAUGAUGCACCCAUUUUUAAGUUAUUUCUAAUUUUCCCAUCAACAGGCUAAAUGUAUCGAGUUACAUUUAUUGUAGCCAUUAUUAUAAUGCAGUUUGAAACGAAAAGUUAUUUCAAUAAUCGUACGAAGAUUUUGCUUUGUAUUAACAGCCUGCACUGAAAAGAAUUUGCUCUGAUUCUACACUGAAGUCUGGAACAUCCAAAUUCACAAUGGCUGAUAUGGGCAGCAACAAAAUAUUUUUACAUUUGAGGAGAAAGUUGGUGAUUUAAACUUCACAAGAAGAGGCUGCUUCAGUGAAAAACGCCUUUGUUUUAAUGAUUGCCACUACAAUUCACAUAUCACAUUGUGGCACUCUCUCCACGACUUCAUGAUAAUACAAAAUGAGCUGCCCUUCUUUGGACUUUUUUGAUGUCUUCCAUCCCACACCGUGGAGCGAUACUUCAGAAGAGGAUGGACAAACAUAAUUUUCAGACGCAGCAGAUAGCCUUGCUGCUAAACACAGUACACAAGCUACUAACCCAUCAAGCCACAGGCAACACCUGUAGCUUAGAGUGCCUUUUCACCAGUUUAAUGAACAAGAGGAAUGGCUUGAGUGAUUGCAACAGUAUGAAGGCCACAUAAUUGCUCAUAACAUACCAGGUUCACAGAUCCCGAGGACAGCACAGCCACAGCAGCCACCAGAGGGCGU